AGUCUAGUAGAUAUUCCGGCGCUUUAGUAACAGAAAUCGAUAUAAUUACUUUAAUGCGUCACGUAGGGCACCGGUGACCUACAUGAC